ensembl:lncRNA
ACCUAAUCCAUCUCUCCUCCCCCAUCACCAGAAAUCCUGUGGUUAAAAUAACACAGCCUCCAUUCAGAGCGCAAACUUAGAGCCGCGAGCGGGAGUCACACAACUGCACCGAUGGAUGUGCCCAAGGGGCUCUCGUGGUGCUGCUCCCCACCCCGCUGCUGAUCCAGGAGAGCACGGCGGGGGCUCUCCUGCCUGCACACCAGAAACAGGCAGCAGUGUUUCAUCCAUAUCAACUCCUGGGACCACCACGUUCACAUCAGGGCUCUGGUGUGCAAGGCAGUGUGGGAGCAAUGACCAGAUGAACAGCCACAGCUUCUUGGGAGUGGGCAGCAGAAGAGCCAAAGGACCAGAGAUGCUCAUAGGUGAUGCCCGUGUGGAAACUGUCAAUUUCUCUAGGAAGAACUUCAAAAGGAAGAACUCUAGGAAGACGUCACUGUUACAGCUCCCAUAUACUGACUACACAUGGAGACUAACGCCAUUAAUGAUGCUGGUGGGUGGUCGUAUGCAAGGUCUCUUGCACAGCUCUGGAAGUGCUGCUGCCUCCUAACCUGCAGCCCUCGCUGGUUCAGACACCUCCUUUCACAGUGAGGUCAUCUCAUGGGUGCAAACCCCAAACCUUCAUUGCUUGUAAAUUACUUGAGACUCAGACCUACUCCUACCCCAGCUCUAUUCACAGCUAGCAUCUGACUUUAUCCCAUCAUGUUCUUCCUACAAUUUUGGUUGAAUUACUCUAGCCUGUGUGACAUGACUAGUUCAACAGUGCUGUGCCUUGGGACAUGAUCUUUGCUAAAGUGUAUGAAAUUCUUUUUGCAGUUUCUCAAUGAAUGAAGUGAGGCUUUUGUACAAUUCCUAUUUCUUACGUUUCCAUACAGUAAUGAAAUAUGUGCUAUUUUCUCUCAGAAGUUAAUGCUAUUUUCCAAACAUUCUGCUUUGCCCUACUCCGCAGACUCCUGGUCUCCACAGGCUGCACGGGCCAGGUCUCCUAUUCUGAGCCACACCAGGGCUUGGAUUUCAGAAGACAGUUGUAUAGCACCUUCGAGAUCUCCACAUCCCAUGUCUGGAGAGAUUCAGGCUCACCACAACCCUUAGGGAGGCCUGCAACCUUCCUGUAGUUGUGCUGCAGAUAUAAGUUUGUCUUUAUGUUAUUCUGUAGCCCAGUGGUGUGGGAUAAGGUGAGACACAGGAAAAGAUUCUUCAUGAAAAGUUGCACAUAUUUUGUCUCCUAACAAGAUACAGCCAUGGCUGAGUAUUCUUGUAGCAAACAUCCUAAUAAUCCAAACAGUAUUCUCCCAUGUCAUUCACAUCCUACUUUGUGCAGGGGCUCUUCCCUCUCUUCAGAUGCAAGGAUAAGGAGAGGCAAAAGAAGGAGACUACAGGAAAGGGUGAGGAAAAUGAGUGUUUCACCCUUUUGCACUGGCAAAGAUCAUUUGGGGAACCCUCACCCAGACGUAAAUUCAGGUCUCCCACUCUGAGGCAAGUGUCAAAUAUUCCUGUAGGUCCUUUUCUAUUAAUUACAAUACCCUUGUGAAUCACAUAUCCGAAAUCCAUGUAUAAGAUUACAACAUACAAAAGUUCCUAAUAAUCUCAAACUCUCAAACUCUCUGAAGUUGUUUGUUGUUUUUUUGUUUGUUUGUUUGUUUUUAACAGCUUACAGUCUUUUAGCAUGUUUUCACAUUUCUUUGGAUGUCUUGUCCCUCAGCAGUGAGUUUCUCUUAUUUUUUCUCUCUUUGCUGCUGCUGUUGGUUGGGUGUUUAUGCCCUUGGCAUUUUCUACCUGCAGGGCACAUCUAUCAAAUCAAGCACAACACUGAACUUAGGCCAUGCCAAACUCACCGCACAAGGAGCUCUGUAGCCACAAAAAAACUCUCAUCCGUGUUUCCCUCCCUGAGCCCAGUCAAAUCAAGCAGCAUUUUAAGCUGAUUUGCAGCCCUCUACCAUCAAGGCUGUGACUGUGUCUCGGCUAAAACCUGCCUCAUGAUGGACAGUCAACUGAAUAUGAGCCAGCAGUGUGCCCAGGUGGUCAAGGCGGCCAAUGGCAUCCCAGCUUGUUUCGGGAAUGGCCUGGUGAGCAGGACUAGGGAAGUAAUCCUGCCCCUGUAGUCGGCACUGGUGAGGCCUCACCUUGAGUACUGUGUUCAGUUUUGGGCAUCUCAGUACAGAAAGGACAUUGAGGUGCCAGAGCAGUUCCAAAGAAGGGCAAGGCCCUUGCAGAGGCCUUGUAGAAUAUUCCCUGUGAGGAGCAACUGAAGGAGUUGGCGCUGUUUAGUCUGGGGAAGAGGAGGCUGAGGGGAUCUCUUCAAAUACCUGAAAGGUGAUUGUAGUGAGAGCGGGGCUGGUCUCUUCUCACUGGUGACAGGUGACAGAACGAGGGGAAAUGGCCUCAAGUUGCACCAGGGUAAGUUUAGGUUGGGUAUCAGGAAAAACUUCUAUACAGAAAGGGUGUUUAAGCACUGGAAUAGGUUCCCCAGGGAGGUGGUUGAGUCACCAUCCCCGGAUGUGUUUAAAAACUGAUUGGAUGUGGUGCUCAGGGACAUCAUUUAGCGGAGGGUUGUUAGAGUUAGGUAGUAUGGUUAGGUUGUGGUUGGACUUGAUGAUCUUCAAGGUCUUUUCCAGUCUGACCAAUUCUAUGAUUCUACGAUUCUAUGAGCUAAGCCUGACCAUCCACAACCACCUUUGCCCCAUUGCGCACAGCCCACCAUACUAAAACUCUGCUCUUACCCAUACCCCCAGCCAUUCCCAUCAGGUGAAGCACCAGAAGGGCUCACACAGUGUGCCCACUGCUGUGACUGCUUUUUACCCCUGCUGCCUUUUGACACAGAGCAGAAAUGGGGUUGCUGAUAACCUGCCAUGGAGAAACAGAACAAAAAGGAAUUGCUUUCUUCACCACUGCCUUUGUUCACAGUGGCUUGCUUUUGGACUCUUGCAUGUCUAUAAUCAAAUGGUGCUGCUUUCCACAUGCUGCAGCUCUCUGUUUAAGAUUAGAGGAAUCUCCUUUAAAUAUUUAUUUAAACAGUAACAUCUCUUGAGCUCUUUACAAUUUGUUGUACAGAAUUGUCUUUUAUAAAGCACCCCAGAUUUUAUUUAUUUUCUUGAUCUGCCUCCCCAUCACAUGGCUGCACUGGGAACCAGCACCUCCUUUUGCUGAGGCUGCAGCACGCGUAGCUCAGGCACUGGUGCCUGCUCCAUGGGGCUCUCAGACCUCAUCUCCAGCACCUACCAAGGACUGCCAGAGCUGCAGGACAGAGCUUUGGCACAUUGUUUCUGUCCUAGGAACUCAACAAUCCUAUAACUUCCAGGAAUAGGCUCCUUUCAGAGGCAGGAAAGCUACUUUGAUAGCCCUCUCUUCCUACUAUUACAUACACACAACAGCUGAGCCUGGAAGCACAUGCAUACGCAGUCACUCAUUUGUUUUCACAUACAAUGUGGAUUAAAAUUUCAGGUAGUCAAUAGCAGCUGUGGAUUAAAUGCGUGAUGUCCCCAGGUGGGUGCAAAGAAUGGUGCUGGUGGAUGGUGUCCCCAGGAGUGCAACCCCACAUGCACUUGGAGACACCAGGGAGGGCUCUCUGGUCCAAAGCUGGGAGCUGAGGUGAGUGGGGCUUUGUGUUUGGUGGAAUUCUGCUGAAGAGUGUCCUGUAUUUUUAUUUCUUUAAAUUUCUGAUUCCCCAUGGUAAACAAACCUUUCAAUAACAGGUAAAUUAUAACUUCCAAACCUGCACUUCUGUGCAUUUUCUGAGCAACAGGCUUUUGAGACACAUGAAAUGUUCUGUACUAUUCAGAUGAAGUCCUCAAGUUAGAUAAGGGCUCACCAUUAAAAAUAAUACAAAAUUGGUACAUAAAAACAAUACAAAAUUGGAAGUGUACAUUAAAAAAGAAGAUUCACCAACCAGGACAUUUGCUUAUAUUUAAUUUUAGCUGAAGGUACACUUUCAACAAAGUAUUUGGUAACUUCCAUGUUAUCUGUUAAGAAGUUUGCCUGACAUAAUCAGUAUUUAAGACUAAGUGGUAGAGACCUACAGUCCUUCUGUGUUUUUAAUUCCACAUUAUUCCAGCAUCCUGAUGAAUCAGAUAUUGGCAAAAUCUCCAUAGCCAGUGUAGGCUUGAGUAAGAAUUGGAUUACUCACCCACAUAAGCAAGUGCAAAGGAGGUAAUUCAUUAUGCUGUUUCUAAGGUAUAAUUGAAGCCCACCUUCCCAUUCUAGGCUCUAUGUGGGUUUAAUCGGGGGAGCUAAACAGGGGAAAAGUACCACAGCUUCUCUGAAUCAUUUUUAUUCUUGUUCUGGUUCUUUAUCACUAAUUACAUCACGACAUAUUUCCAUGGAGACUGAGAGCGGUGCCAUCAGCCUGCAGUCCCUCCAGUCCCCCUUGGCACCUUCACUUGCUUUUUUAAGUGCAGUGUUUCUCUGCAAAGUCCCUUGGGAGGAAGAAAUAGGCUGUGUUUUGAUCAAGGUCCUUCUUGUUCUGAGUGGAAAUUUCAACAGACUAAAUAAAAAGAUAUAUCCUUU